UACGGAGGGUCCAAGCGUUAUCCGGAAUCAUUGGGUUUAAAGGGUCCGUAGGCGGUUUUGUAAGUCAGUGGUGAAAGCCCAUCGCUCAACGGUGGAACGGCCAUUGAUACUGCAAGACUUGAAUUAUUAGGAAGUAACUAGAAUAUGUAGUGUAGCGGUGAAAUGCUUAGAUAUGACAUAGAACACCAAUUGCGAAGGCAGCUUACUACGGAUCGAUUGACACUGAGGCACGAAAGCGUGGGGAUCAAACAGG
rnacentral:rRNA from 1 species